rnacentral:lncRNA from 1 species
UUGAGGACAGAUAUUUAGACUGAUGUUUUGGUAGAUGAACUAACUAUACCGGAGCAAGCUAUUUCUCUAGCCCAUAAGUAUGAGAAAAAAUAUUUGGUAGCCAAGGGAAAUAAUACAUAAUUUUCUUACUCCAAACAACCUCCUCUUUUACCUACUCAUUCUACUUCUAACCCGCCAUUGCUGCCAACUCCUCCUUCCACAUUAGCCUUACAACCACCACCUUUUUCCUCCACUUCGACCUUUAAAAUUCCACCGAAACGCUUAACCCCAGCAGAAAUUUAACAACGGCAUGAAAAAGCAUGUGCUAUUAUUGCGAUGAGAAAUACUCAGCCUCUCACAAGUGCAAAAAAUUUCCUCAAUUGUUACUUAUAGAGGAUGACUCCAAUGAUUGAGUUCCUGAAUCCUUUAUCCCUGGCGAUAUGCUGGUAGAUGAAUUGCAGUCUCUUGAGGUAAAAUCUCAUUCUACAAUUUCAUAUUAUGAUCUAGCAGGUGGUAAUUCUCUGACUAUAUUGUAUUUUACUAGACAUGUUAAUAGAUCUUCAGUACAGGUUCUCUUGGACAGAGGGAGCACCAAUGAUUUUAUUCGGCCUCGAGUUGCUAAGUUUUUGAACCUAAUAGUUGAUCGCACUUCUAAUUUUCCAGUUGUGGUGGGUAGUGGUCAAUGACUCAAAUGUGAAGGUGUGACUCGAGCGGUUAACCUCACCAUUCAAGGUUGCACCCUUACUUUAGAUCUGUAUGUGCUCUCUAUGCAUGGUUCAGAUAUUGUUUUGGGAGUUUCAUGGUUGGCUACUCUAGGACUGGUGGUUACUGAUUAUAGUCAACGCACAUUUGAAUUCUCUUUACAUAAUACUAGACAUAGUUGGGUGGGGAACCCUCCUAUUGAUGUUCAACUUCAAGGAUUAUGACGUUUAACUUCAGUGGAUGCGAUUGCUUUAUUCUAUCGGCUUGAGGUAAUUCAUGACUCAAGUCCUUCUUGAAAUACUUACCCCUCUGAUCUUACUGCAGUUAUGUUCGAGUAUCAGGAUGUGUUUUGCAAGACCAUGAUCUUCCCCCAUCGCGUGACCAAGACCAUGCUAUACAUCUACAUCCUAACUUUGAGCCUGUGAAUGUCAAACCUUAUCGUUAUCGCUAUUUUCAAAAACAAAUCAUGGAAGAUUUGGUGGCUUAGAUGUUGAAAGAAGGUAUCAUCAGGCAAAGCACCAGUCCCUUUUCUUUCCCAGUGCUAUUGGUUCGGAAGAAAAAUUAUACAUGCAGUUUCUAUGUUGAUUAUCGGGACUUUAAUUCCAUCACAAUGAGUGAUCUCUUUCCCAUUCCUACCAUUUAUGAAUUAUUUGAUGAACUGAAUGGUGUCACAUAUUUUUCGAAACUGGAUUUACUAUCUGGCUAUCAUCAUAUUCGAAUUCGCCCUGACGAUAUUCCGAAAACAAUAUUCUGAACACAUGAAGGGCAUUACGAAUUUUUUGUCAUGCCAUUUGGGUUGUCUAAUGCUCCCUCUACCUUUCAGGUAACUAUGAACUUGGUAUUUAAACCGUAUCUCAGGAAAUUGCUCAUAGUUCUUUUUUGUGAUAUCUUGGUUUAUAGUGGUACAUGGGAAAACCAUCUGGAACACCUAGCAGUUGUUCUUCGUCUACUGCGGGAGAAUAAGUUAGUCGCCAAACAAUCCAAAUGUCUACUUGGACUUUAGAGGAUUGAUUACUUGGGCCAUGUCAUAUCUUCUCAAGGAUUGGCUGUAGACCUGGCCAAAAUUGAGGUGAUUAAGAAUUGACCAGUUCCAAGGUCUAUCAAAGAAGUGCGUAGUUUCUUGGGUCUCGUUGGGUAUCACCAAUGUUUCAUUCAUCAAUAUGCACAGUGGAUGGUCCAUUAACGGAUUUAUUUAAAAAGGAUGCCUUUGGUUGGACUGAACGACAACAACAUGCAUUUGAGGCGGCCUUGAAAAGUGCCCUUGAAUCUGCUCCAGUCUUAUCUUUGCCCGAUUUCUCUAAAGAAUUUUAUGUGGAAACAUAUUCUUUACGUAUUGGGGUUGGUGCAGUAUUAUCACAACAAGGCUACUCAAUUGCCUAUUUAGUCAAAAGUUAUGUCAUCGUAUACAGAAAGCCUCAUCUUACUAGAAUAAUAUGUUAGCAAUCACACAGGUUGUUAGUAAAUGGCAUCAGUAUUUGUUGGGUCGCCAUUUUGUCAUUCACACAGAUCAACAUCCCCUUAAGAAUUUAACAAAACAUGUUAUUCAGACCCCUGAGCAACAAAAAUGGUUGACUAAAUUGGUUGGUUAUGAUUUUACCAUUUUGUACGAGCCUGGAAAGACCAAUUUAGUAGCUGAUGCUUUAUCUCGGACCCCUGCAGCUUCCUUUCAUGCCAUUUCUAGCUGCACCUUUGAUUUAAUAGCUAAUUUGCGGCAAGAAAAUGUGAAUCAUAAUGAGUUGUUGGCUUGGAAAUAGAGUAUUCAUGAGGAAGCGGAGACUCCUUCCCCUUUCCUCUUUAAAGAUAGUCUUCCUUUGUAUAACGGUAGAUUGGUUAUUCCAUCCGAUUCCCCUCUUCACGUUGAAUUGCUCAAGUAGUUUCAUUCUUCGCUGGUUGGUGGUCACGCUGGGAUAUCCGAAACUUUCCAAAGAGUAGUUUUUUUUAUUGGAAGGGUUUAAGACAAGAUGUCAAAACCUUUGUUGCUUUUUGCCAGACCUGCCAGGAGAUGAAAGACAUUCUUAAACAUCCAACAUGUCUUCUCCAACCAUUACCUGUUCUAGAUUUGGUUUUCGAGGAGGUCAUAAUGGAUUUUAUCACGUCUCUUCCCAGCUCGAAGGGUAAAUCUACUAUUCUUACCAUUGUGGAUCGUCUUUCUAAAUAUUGUCAUUGUAUUGCCCUGUCGGCCACUUUCACUGCCUAUAUUGUAGCUGCGACCUUUGUUUCAGAAAUCAUUCGACUUCAUGGCCACCCUAAAAUUAUUCUCACUGACUGAGACCCAAGGUUCAUAAAUAUAUUUUGGAAGGAAAUCCACAAAAUACAAGGUACUACUCUCUCCAUGAGCACGGCCUAUCACCCACAAACUGAUGGCCAAUCAGAAGCAUUGAUCGUUGCUUUGUGGCUGAUACCCCACAUGAGUGGGCACCAUUAUUACCUUGGAUCGAAUUUUGGUACAAUACUUCCUAUCAGACCGUUGUUUCUAUGACCCAUUUCCAAGCUUUGUAUGGCAGAGAACCGCCCAUCAUAGCUCGGUAUGUGCUUGGCACUUCUUCCAAAGAAUUGGUAGAAUGUUACAUGAUUCAAAGGGAAGAAGUUAUGGAUUUGUUGAAGCAUAACUUAAUCAAAGGCCCAACAACGUAUGAAGGAAUAUGUAGAUAAGAAGUAUCAAAAUGUUGAAUUUGCAAUUGGAGAUUGGGUAUAUGUUAAGCUAAAAUCUUCCAUGCUGCAGUCUCUUCGCUUACAGCGAUAUCAUAAGUUGGGAACGCAUUACUUUGGUUUAUUUAAAGUUAUCAGAUGAAUUGGGGAUGUUGCUUACAAGCUUGAAUUACCAAAGGAUGCUCAUAUUCACCCUGUGUUUCAUGUCUCUAAGCUGCGUUGCUGUGUUGGAAAUUCAGAUAUGCAUGACUAUAACGACCCGAUCGGUCGUUUUGAGCACUUGAAUUUCGUUCAGCCAUUUGAAGUCUUGAGUAGCUUCAUAUGAUGUAUUAUGACUUGUGUGAAUCGUCGGUUUUGGUUUCAGGUUAAUCGGAAUUGACUCGGGAGAAAGAUUCUCAACUAGGACGCUCUAAGUUGGAAUAGUUGACCAAGUUUGACAUUUGAGUAUUUGACCUCGGAUCGGAGUUUUGAUGGUUCCGUUAGGUCUGGAUGAUAAUUUUGGACUUGGGCGUAUGCCCGGAUUUGCAUUUGGAUGUUCCUAGAAGGUUUCGGCACUAUUUGGCGAAAGUUGGCAAUUUGAAGGUUUGGAAUAUUUAUAUGUUUGACCGAGAGUUGACUUUGAUGAUAUAAUGUUUGGAUUUUUGUUUCGGGAAUUGGAAUAGCUUCGUUAUGUCAUUUGGGACUUGUGUGCAAAAUUGGAGUUCAUUUCGAGUUGAUUUGAUAAGGUUCGACACGAGUUUUGAAAGUUGAAAGAUUCAAAGUUCAUUAAGUUCGAUUUGAGGCACGAUUCGUGAUUUUGAUGUUAAUAUGUGUGAUUUGAGACCUUGAGUAGGUCCGUAAUAUAUUUUGAGACUUAUUGAGGGACUCGGGUGAGUUUCGGGGUGGUUUCAGACCAUUUCUAGGCCAUUUUUAAGUGUUGGUUUUUAGCUACAGCAGUGUGCAUCGCGAUCGUGGACUUUGGGUCGCGUUCGCGAAGAGAAAAAUGGGAGAAAGGUGCCUGUGAAUCGCGUUCGCAGAGUGAUCUUCGCGUUUGGGAAGAAGAAAUUAUGUUGUCACUGAUCCAACUUUAAAAGCUUAUAUCGUGCAAUAUAUAAGGAAUUUGGAGAUGAUCCAAAAACAAAAGUUGUAGCCCUUGGUUCUAGUUUUAAGAAAAAUUGAACCAUUUGUCAUUUGGAGUUUUGUAAAAAAUGUUAUGGCUAUUAUACUAGAGGCUAUCUGGAAAAGUUAGGCAAGCUUGUUGGAGUUUGUUCAUCGCGAUCGUGGGGGAAUGGUCGCGAUCGUGAAUAGUAAAAGUUGAGCUGGAAUUUUUUUUGAAUCGCGAUAGCGAUGUUGGAGACCGCGAUCACGAAGAGAGACUCCUGGAAGUGCAUUAAAACAUCAAAUUUUGGUAUUUUGAGUUCAUUUUAUCAUAUUUUGAGCUAUAAAGCUCGGAUUGAGGUGAUUUUCACCACAUGAAAUGGGGUAAGUAUUAUCUACUCGGUAUUGAUUUUAUUCCGUGAUUCCAUCUUCGUUUUUGGCACUUGGUUGAUGAUUUCAAAAGAGAAAUUGGGGAGUUUUGUCUAAAAUUUUAUAAACUGAAUUUUUGAGUUUUGAACAUCGAUUCGGAGUCAGAUUUGAAUAAAAUUUGUAUGAUUGGACUCGUAAUUGAAUGGGUUAUCGGAUUUUAUGAGUUUUGUCGGGUUCAGAGGUACGGGCCCAAGUUUGAUGUUUUGGUUGACUUUGGGCUUUUGAUUAUAGAUUCGACCUUUAUCAAUUGGGUUUGCUUCCAUAGGCAUUAUUUGAUGUAUUUGAGUUGCUUUUGGCUAGUUUCGAGCCGUUCGGAGGUUGAUGCACGCGAGAUGGCAUUUCUAAAGUAUUGUUCGGCUUGCUCGGUAUUGGAUUUGGCUUGUUCGAGGCAAGUAACAUAUUUGAACUUGGAUUUGAGGGUAUUUAACCCUAGGAACUGUGUUAUAAGAGAUGUAUUAAAGUGACGCACAUGGUAGGUGACGAGCGUGUGGGCGUGCACCGAGCAAAUCAUGAUUUUAGUCAACUAUUAGACUAUGACCGGACUUGUUUUGCUAUUAUAUCCUGUUACCUCCAUGUUCUCUCUUCUUGUUUGAUUAUAUGUUCUGUGAAUCAUGUUAGAAAUCAUGUUUACGCUAUAUGCUUGCUCUAUUGAGACCCACCGAGGUUAUUUAUGCUAUUGAGUUAUUUGCUUACAUUGUAAUUAGACACUCAGUCAUAUUCAUUCAUUUGCAUAUCAUAUCUCAGUCUCUAUUAUCAAUUUUUCAUUGUUUGGGCUGAGUGGCAUGAGAUUUGUGAGCCCGAGAGACUGGAGAGAUUGAUGACUGUGACGAUGAGGGCCUGAUUAUGAGUGAUGAUUAUGGGAUCGGGUUGCACGCGACAACAGAUUUAUUGAUUCAUGGUGGGAUCAGGCUACACGUGGAAGCAGGCUUUAUUGAUUCAUGAUGGGAUCGGGGUGCACGCCGCAUCAUGUCAUGGCGCUUGGGCAGGAUCUGCCACUCCGGAGUCUGACAUACCAGCAAUGAGCGUAGGUACGGAUGAGUGCGAGUGCCGAGUGAUUGAGAGUGCUGAGUGAUUGGGAGGUGCUGAGUGAUUGAGAGUAUUGAGUGAUUGGAAGGUGCUGAGUGAUUGAGCGUGCUAAGUGAGGUCGAAUACUCCGAGAGCAUGAGUACAUGAGUUUAUCACUGUGGUGCAUUACAUUUGACAUGCAUACUUGGCAUGUAGGCAUAGAGAUGCAUUUCCUCAUGCUAUACAAUAUUGUGACAUUUAUGACUUCUCUCAUACAUAUUGACAUGUAGGCAUAGAGAUAUACUUUUCUCAUGCUAUCUCAUAAUGGAGCAUCUUAUCUGUUGCUAAAGGUUUUUGGGAAAAAUCACUGUUUUUCUGACAUACUCACAUUUUGGUGACUUCGGUGAAAGAUUUGGGUUUUACUGUUACUCUUGAAAAACAUUCCUAUUUUUCGUAACUAUGAACGAUCUAAGCAUUAUAUCUUUGACUAUUACUUGUACUAUUUCAUUAUAUUGUUAUGAGUUGUUCUUGGCUGUUGGUGUUGGACUCUUACCGUUGUCCAAGCUCGUCACUGCUUACAACCUAAAGUUAGGUUUGUUACUUAUUGAGUAUAUGGGGUCGAUUGUACUCAUACUACACUUCUUCACCUUACGUGCAGAUUUUGGAGCUGAUGUUGUUGUGCAUGGGGGAGUUGGCAUUGAAGAUGUACCCGCACUCCAGUUGUAGCUGCCUCUUGUUCAUGGUAGCUUUAGAUUUAUAAAAAUCAAUAUGCGUACAUUUCAAAUAGAUGAUGUAUUUAUUUCAUACAAGUUUUGUAAACUCUAAAUCUUAGAAGCUCAUGAUUUGUACUACCAAUCCUUGGGGAUCUUUUUUAUAAAAGUUCAGUUAUUUCAUCAUUUAUUUUCUCAGUAGAUCUCCUUGAGUUGGAUAAUUGAUAAAUUGGCUUACCUAGCGGGUUGGGUUAGGUGCCAUCACGAAUAGUUGGAUUUUGGGUCGUGACAAGUUGGUAUCAGAGCUCUAGGUUCAUAGGUUCUACUAGUCAUGAGCAAAUAUCUAGUACAGUCUUGUGGAUCAGUAUGAUGACGUCCAUGCCUAUCUUCGAGAGGCUGCGGGGCAUUUAGGAUAAACUUCCCAUCUUUCAUUACUUAUCGUGCGACAUUAAUUCAGCUUGAAGCAUAUCCCUUUGAAUUCCUUCCACUCAAUCGUAUGUUAUGUGAGCGUUCGAUAUUAGCGGUGCAUCGACGACUUGCGAUUCUAUGGAUGAGGUGCGAGAUGCGUCUUCUGUAUUUUUGUGAUGGGCCAGUCUAGAGGACUUGUCGACAGGUUUAGAUCGCAGCUUAGGCUCACCAAUUUCAGUUGUGUGAGCAUGCGCUUUUGGACUUAUAUGUCCGGUAGUAUCCAUAUGAGUAGAAUUUAUGGCUCGGUGAGUGGUUGGAUAGGUAUAUGAUGAGUAUGAUGUGACUGCGGGAUAUGUUCAGAUGGUUUGAAUGUGACGAGAAAAGUUUGCUUGAGAUGUGAAAAGGACUAUUGGGUGCUUGAUUUCUAUCUUGAUGUGUUGUACAGUCUCGAGUUAUGAUCAUGUUGAGGGAUCUUUCAUGUCGUUAUUUUUGGAACGAAGUAGAUUCGCAUGUCUUGUGGAUGAGUUUAGACUCAGGAACAUUAAGUGAUUGCAUAGUAAUGGUGUCUAUGAAAGGGUAUAGAUAGAUUUCAGUUUGAGGCUAAGCAGGUGGGUUAUCACCUACGGGGUAAUCUACAGAUGUGUGAUCCUUAUGAUGAUUGUGUGGAGAGUUUUCUACCUGCGGGUUAUAUGUGUUGCAAUUUGAGUAUGGAACGGUUGCGAAAGUUGACUUGACUGUCACGAGGAUGAAUGCGAGCUUCGCAGAUAAUUUGAGGUAUUUUACGAUUUGUGUUGCAUGAGCUUAUGAAUGAUUUAGUUGGAUUUCAGUGCGGGAUUAUGACAGUAAUAGAGUAUGGGUAUUUUGCAUUACCAGAUGUUUUAUUCAGUGGCUUAGCCAAGUGGGGGAGUCUACCAUCAACAAUUUGAUUUUAUGGUUAUGUGUUGUAUUGGUUUCGGUGUGAGGUAUACUUGUGAAUCAGUUAUGACUUGCAACGGUUGAGAUCGAGGAUGACUCGAGUGAGGAAAUUUUUGAAUACGGGAUAUAUUACACUUUAUAGGCAUAUGGAAAUCAUGGGAUGAUUUGAGUUUGUUAUUCGUGACGGAUUGUAGUAUGCAUGGAGUAGGGAUUCACUCGGUUGAUUAGAGGUGUGGAUUACUUCUUUGGGUGUUGGUGUGCUAAUGAGCACAUGUCGUUCGUCUCGUUUGGGCGGCGCAUUUGAGAUUGGAUAGGGUGGAGGACCCUCGAGGAGGUUCUAAUGGGUUCAAGAUUCAUAUGUGGCAUUUGAGAAUUUUCCGGAUUUGUAUAUGGCUAAGAUCCGAGACUUGCAUUGGAUAGUGGAGGGACUUGUAGUUCUUCUGUAUCAUUAUGGAUCCUACACUUUAGUGUCAGAAAGGUAAAGGAAAGAAUUUUAGAUUCACAUAAGGUUUCUUUAUAGUGGGUAUCUCAGAUGUCGUACUUUGAGUGUUUAAAUGGGAAUACAGUAGCUUAUGGGAUUUAGGGAGACGUGGUUUCAUGCUAGGGUCUCGUGUGGUGAGUUUUGGUUGAGGAUCGUGGUAUUAUGGCGAGGAGAAGUGUCAACUUGAAGGCAAUUCAGAAGAAACUUGGAGGAAAUAGGACAACUUGGCAGUAGGUUAGAUUAGUAUGGUAAUGGUAUGCUCAGUUCGUUUGGUUCUUGCGAUGAGGUGAGGCUUUACAGGUAUUUUAUGGCAACACUCUUGGAUUUGGCGACCUUUGUGGCUUGGUUGAGUUAGAGAAAUUCAGUUCUGAUAGCUUGGUUAUGUGCAGAUGGAUUUCAAAGUGUUCUCAAUGGUUUUUACCACGGUUUGAGAUGGAUAUUUCCUACUGGCAUGAGGAGUAUGUUGCGUAUUGUGAUUUUCUACUGGAUGAGAUCAUGUGAAAGGGUCCUGGCUAAUUACGUAUGUAGUCUUCUUGUGACUUAGAGUUGAUAAUGAGGUUCUCGUAUUUUCAUAUGAUGGCCUAAUAGAGGCAGUGCGUGGUGUGAGAUUGGGAUUUGCAUGUGCAAGUAUACGAUUCGGUUUCAAAAGGAAGGUCAUGAGUUUAUGCAGCAUAGACGAUUUCAGAUGGUGAGAAAAACUGUUGGCACUAUUUGGUAUUACCUGAGAAGAGUGUACAUUCAGAAGUGCGCACUGAGGUUUGACUUACAGAUGCUUCAUUGUUAUUGUGGUACUCACUUGGUUGAUCGACUGCUAAAAUUCAGAUUUUUUCUAUGUGGCGCAGAAGAAUUAUAGAAGUAUUCCUCAUGAGAUGAUCGUGCAUGAGAGAUGUAUUAGACAUUCGAGUGGUGGAUUUGGGAUCAGCUAUGGUGAUUCGUGUGUUCUAUGGAUUUGGAGAUUGAGAGUUCUUAGAAUAAGAUUGUUUCGUAGUUGUGGAAUGUGAAGAUGUGGCCAAUGUUAGCCAGAUGGUAGUAUGUGUUGUGGUUAGGUCAUUGUGGACUUUCGGAGGGCUAUUUAUCUAUUUGUGGAUGACCAAGGUUGAUUUGGGGUCUCAUUGGUAGGCCUAAUGAGGAUGUGUAUUCUACAUCGGGUCGAAUUGGUUGACUCCGUACUACUAUUAUUGAGGGAUUUGCCAUUCGGUUAGAAUUGAUCUUAUUUGUAUCUGAUAUGUUCUAUGUGUUACUCUUCUAUGCUACGAUGGGUUGUGAUUUGUUGGUUACUUGCACAUUAUAUGCGUUUCUGUUUAGGCCAUGCAGUGUAAUUCGAGCGAGAUGGUUAUUGGGGUGUUGAAUGGCUGAUUGUGCCUUGGUUAUGGUCUUUCCUAUUGGUGGUAUAUUGUGAUAUCCGUUUCUCCAUGGUGAUGAUCAUGCACUUCGUGUAUUUGAUGUCGAAUUGCGUGUAGUUAUUGAUUUAGAGAAUUAUGGCUUGCGGUAUUUUAUAUGGACCGGUGUUUGGAUAGGGCCACGUAUUGCAAUGGGGUUAUGUUGGGAUAUGAUCCUUUGUGAUAGAUUUGUGUGUAUUGGUUCUACUAUGUGUGACGGGUUCAUAGCAAUGCAUUUGUAGUGGUACUUGUUGAGCUUGUCGGACGAUUCUCUCAUUUGGAUCAUUUUCCAUAUUUGAGUACAUUUGAAUUAUUGCUUGUUGGUGCACAAAUUGCAUGGUUGUGACUUUAGGUUGUAUUGGUGUGGCAUGUCAAUAGAAUAGUUGUGUUUGAUGAGAUAAGGCCAUUGGAUCUAGAAUGGAUACUAUCAGAUUUGAUUAGGAUACUAUCAGAUUUGAUUACGGUAUGUCUAGAAGAGUAAUAUCGGAAGUUGGCUAAGAAUUUGGCUUUGGUUCUUAUCAGAUGAGUGAGAGAGCUCCAUGACUUAUUUAUCUGAUGAGUGGUUAUGAGUUUUUGCGUGUUUCAUUCAUCAUCGGCAGUGUACGAAGGUUUUGAAUGAGGUUUUAUUUGAUAUGAGGCUUAUUACUGGUAUUGGGUUUAUUUUGAGCAGCUACUAUGAUCGGGAAUUAUUGCUAUGAGUAUGCGAGUUAUGUGGUAUAUUAUGUGAUUAUAUCUUCGGUUAUGGAUAUGAAUUGAUACAACUUGUUCGGACUUAUACAGUGUGUAGGUACGAGAUUCAGGUCUUAUAAGGAAUUUCGGAUGUUGGAAAUUAGGUUCUAAGGCUUACGAACUAAGGUUAAAGUAAUGAUCUUCACUUAUGUUGUGUUUGUCAGGCUUACAUGGAUUGGGGUGACGUGGGAUCACCCCCGGGUAUGUGCAUGGUAAGGUUACGCGGCGAUUUGAUUGCUUUGGAUUGACUCUGGGCACGUUCGAGGACGAACGUAUGUUUAAGUGCGGAAGAAUAUAACGACCCGAUAGGUUGUUUUCAGCAUUUGCAUUCCGUUCGGCCAUUUGAAGUCUUGAGUAGCUUCAUAUGAUGUAUUAUGACCUGUGUGAAUCGUCGGUUUUGGUUUUCAAAUUAAUCGGAAUUGAUUUGGGAGAAAGAUUCUCAACUAGGAAGCUUUAAGUUGGAAGAGUUGACAAAAUUUGAUUUUUGAGUAUUUGACCUCGGAUCAGAGUUUUGAUGGUUCUGUUAGAUCCAGAUGGUGAUUUUAGACUUGGGCCUCUGACCAGAUUUGCAUUUGGAUAUUCCUAGAAGGUUUCGACACUAUUUGACAAAGUUGGCAAUUUAAAGAUUUGGAAUAUUUAUAUGUUUGACCGGGAGUUGACUUUGAUGAUAUCGGGUUCGGAUUGUGAUUACAGUAAUUGGAAUAGCUUCUUUAUGUCAUUUAGGAGUUGUGUGCAAAAUUGGAGUUCAUUCCGAGUUGAUUUGAUAAGGUUCGACAUGGGUUUUGGAAGUUGAAAGAUUCAAAGUUCAUUAAGUUUGAUUUGAGGCGCGAUUCAGGAUUUUGAUGUUAAUAUGUGUGAUUUGAGGCCUCGAGUAGGUCCGUAAUAUGUUUUGAGACUUGUUGGUGUGUUCGGACAGGGUCCUGAGGGACUCUAGUGAGUUUUGGGGUGGUUUCGGACCAUUUUUAGGCCAUUUUUAGUUGUUGUUUUUAGCUACAAUAGUGUACAUCACGAUCGUGGACUUUGGGUCGCGUUCGCAAAAAGAAAAAUGGGAAAAGGCGCCUGUGAUUCACUUUCGCGGAGAGAUCAUCGCGUUCGCGAAGAAGAAAUUCUGCUGUCACUAAUCCAACUUGGAAGCUUAUAUCGUGCAAUCUAUAAGAAAUUUGAAGAUGACCCAAAAAUAAAAGUUGUAGCCCUUGGCUCUAGUUUUCAGAAAAUCAAACCAUUUGUCAUUUGGAGUUUUGUAAAAAAAGUUAUGGCUAUUAUACUAGAGGCAGUCUGGAAGAGUUGGGCAAGCUUGUUGGAAUUUGUUCAUCGCGAUCGUGGGGAAAUGGUCGCGACUGCGAAGGGUAAAAGUUGAGCUGGAAUUUUUUUGGAAUCGCGAUGCACACCGCAACAUGUCAUGUUGGCUUAUAUUAGCGCUUGGGCAGGAUCUGCCGCUCCGGAGUCUGACAUUCCAGCAGUGAGCGCAGGUACGAAUGAGUGUGAGUGCCGAGUGACUGAGUGAUUGAGAGUAUUGAGUGAUUGGGAGGUGCUGAGUAAUUGAGCGUACUGAGUGAGGUUGAAUACUCUGAGAGUAUGAGCACAUAAGUUUAUUACUGUGGUACAUUAUAUUUGACAUGCAUACUUGGCAUGUAGGCAUAGAAAUGCAUUUCCUCAUGCUAUACGAUAUUGUGACAUUCAUGACUUCUCAUACACAUUGACAUGUAGGUAUAGAGAUGUACUUUUCUCAUGCUAUCUGAUAAUGGAGCAUCUUGUCUGUUGUUGAAAGCUUUUGGGAAAAAUCACAGUUUUUCUGACAUACUCACAUUUUGGUGAGUUCGGUGAAAGAUUUAGGUUUUACUAUUAUACCUGAAAAGCAUGCCUAUUUUUCGUAACUAUGAACGAGUUGAGCAUCAUAUCUUUGAGUUUACUUAUACUGUUUCAUUAUAUUGUUACGAGUUAUUCUUGGCUGUUAGUGUAGGACUCUGACGUUGUCCAAGCUCGUCAAUACUUUUAACCUAAGGUUAGGUCUGUUACUUAUUGAGUACAUGGGGUCGAUUAUACUCAUACUACACUUCUGCACCUUACGUGCAGAUUUUGGAGCUGAUUUUGCUGUGUAUGGCGGGAGAUGGCAUUGAAGAUGUAUCAGUGUUCCUGUUGUAGCUGCCUCUUGUUCAUGGUAGCUUUAGAUUUAUAAAAAUCUAUUUACGUACAAUUCAAAGAUGUAUUUAUUUCAUACCAGUUUUGUAAACUCUAAAUCUUAGAAGCUCAUGAUUUGUACUACCAAUCCUUAGGAGUUUUGUAUAAAAGUUCAGUUAUAUCAUCAUUUAUUUUCUCAGUAGAUCUCCUUGAGUUGGAUAAUUGAUAAAUUGGCUUACCUAGCAGGUUGAGUUAGGUGCCAUCAUGACUAAUUAGAUUUUGGGUCGUGACAAGGUCACUUCGCUGCAAGUUCGAGAUCCUUUAGACAUGAUCUCCCAGAACCCUGAGGACAAGGUUCUUGUCGGGGAAGAGAUUAAUGUUACACCUGUGAGUGGGCUUAACCCAAAUAAAAUAGACAAUCAACAAGACUUGGAUAGUGUUGGGCCAAUAAACUCUGUUAGACGAAGUGGUCGGGUCAAAAAGCCCUCUUAGAAAUUAACUGACUUUAUAUGGAAAAGCAAUAUGGGGAAAUUGUUAUUUAGUGAGUAGUGGAUAUUGGAAUUGGGUGGAAAAAGUUAAAGAAAUUUCCCUAUUCUCUUUUAUCCUCUAUGUAAUUCUUCUUAACUUCUUUUCCUCUUUCAAUCUUUCCUCUUUCUGAAUCUUUUUCAUAUCUGGUAUUAUUAUUGUAAUUGUUAUUUGUCAGUUUAUGAAUUAAAUCUAGACCUUCCUAUUAUUACGUUGUUCUGUUAAAUUGCGUUAUAAAAAUAUCAAACGGCUGAUCCAAGGCUUAAUAUAAGAAGUCUUUGAAUGGAUAUAGAGAAUAAGAGAAGACAACAAACCUCGCGUAAGUUUAAACCUGAAAAGGAUCCUCGCAAAUGACAUUGCUGGAGGAUCGUUGUCCAGCAAUUAUUGAAAUUCGCUUAUGUAUCAGGUCAUAAUACCACUUCCACCAAGUUUAUAUUUUUGCGGGGGUUGACUUUUGGGUCAAGGGGGGUUACCUUUCCCAGUCAAAAAGUGAGGGGUAUUAUUUUCUUACUCUAAAAGCUUAAGGGGGACAAGAUGGAAUUUACUCUUUUAUAUGUGUCUUAAGACUUGGGAGCUAAACUUUCGUCGUCACCCCUCAAGUUAUUAUAUUGUUACCUUUUGAUGUAGGUUCUACUUUUAUCUGCACUUCCGUCCCAAUUAUAUUCAACUCUCAAAUUGAUGACUAUUUUAAUAUAUUUGUUAAUCAAUUAGCUUAUAGUUAAUGUAAACCUAAAGACAUAGCCAAAGACGUAAAGAACAACAUUUAAGAGUUAAGACUCAAAUUUUGACUCGGCUCGACUUAGUGCUGUUGAAGUUCGAUUAAGUUUAGGUUCGACUCAAUUUGGCUCUACUUGAGUCUGGAUGCGAAUUCAAGAUUUUAAGUUUAUGAAUUCUAGAUCUAUUAUUUUUUUAAAAUUAUUUAUUAGAUUCUAGAUAAUUUAUUUAUAUAUAUUAAGUGAAUUUCCUAAUACUUUGAGUCAAAGCUACCGAAUUAACCGAUCACGUAACUUCCAAGUUAAAUUUGCCCCUGCACUUGACAUUUGAACCUACUAGCAACUUGACAUUUGAACCUACUAGCAACUUGAAUUCUAUUUACUCAAAGUUCUAUUUGUUUUGAUAAAAAAUAUGAAAUAUUAUCAUAGACAAAAAAAUAAUAUAUCUAAAGAGCAUCAUACGCUUUGAUUACUUUUUAGGAAAGAUCGUCGAGUACAUAUGACCUCAAGUAAGACGAAAUUCUAAUUUUAUCAGAUCUUUCUUUCUCCUCUUUUUCCCAUCUUUAGACCUUUACAACUCGAACAAAAAAAGAUGAUCGAUCCAAUUGCACAUAAGUACUUGCUUGUUUCAGCAUUGGCCUUUAGUUACUUUCUUAGGAUCGAUUCAUUAGUUGGUUAAUGUUAGUAUCAUGGUUCAUUAUUUUUGUUCUUUAUGAAAAAUAAAAUUAGUAGUAAAGUUAAAGCUAUGCAACUAUUAACACGGUUAAUCAAGAAUAAGAGUAGCUAUUGCAGUCCUUUCAUUUUCGGUUGAGCAACGUAAAGAAACUACGGAUUACCAUCUACUCAUCUAGCAAUUAAAAAGAUUCAUAGCGACUAGAGAAAUCUAUUUUGUACCACAAAUCGAAUUAACCAUAUACUUUUCUGAUUUCUCACCCGGUGUUCGGAACUCUUUGGGCCCGUAAAUUCAAAGUUGCACCACAUAGAACUAUUAAAAACGAAUAGCUCCCUAAUCCCUACUUAAGAUUGUUUUAUUCUAAGGACUCGAAUCCUUAUCCAUCUGGUUAAGGAUGGAAGGUCUAUUAAAGAAGGAUCUUAUUACAUAGUUCUGCAAAUAUAAAAAAAUAAAAAGACUAGAAAGAAAAAUGAAAUCAUCAUAGACAACUAGUUUAUUAAAGUAAUAUAAAGGAGUAGAAGGCAGCUUGGAAUAUAGAGGGAGACGUAGACAUCUUGGGGAAGAAAAUAUCAAGUUGCGUUAAAGAAGUAGCACCAAAAGUGCUAGGUGUGUCUAAAGGUCCAGGACCUCGCCCACAUGAAUUCUGGUGGUUGAAUAAGGAGGCACAAAGAGUUAUUAAACCUAAAAGAGAGUGUUAAGCAGAAGACGAAAACGACUUUAAAGAAUACAAGAGAGCUAAGAAGGAAGCUAAGAAGGUUAUUAGUAAAGAUCGAGAGAGAAAAUGGCUUGUACCAAAAGCUAGGGACGCAAGAAAGAGAGAAAAACUAUUUAAAAUAGCAAGACCGAAAAAGAAGAAGGGUAAAAAAAUUAAAACAGGCGAAGUAUAAUAAGGAUGAUCUCAACCAGUAUUGAUAGGAGAUAAUGAGAUCAAUGAGUGGUGGAGAGGAUAUUCUGAUUAAUUGCUUAGCUUGAACCAAGAGAAUAAUAUUUUAGACAUGCAGACGUCUGUAUGCGAUAGAAAAUUAAGCUAUAUCGAAAUAGGCCGACAGAGAUAAUGUAUGCCAUGAAAAUAUAAAGAUUAGAAAAGUUCGGGGUCUAAAUAGUAUUCUUGUAGAGGUUUGGAAAUAUCUUGAGGAGGUUGGAGUAGAAUGGCUUACCAAGCUAUUUAAUGUAUACUAAGAAGUGGUACGAUACCCAAAAAGUGGAGUAAGAAUACCCUGACACCUAGUCUCUAAAACGAGGUAAGUCUAACAUAUAUUGAAAGAUAGCAGAAACAAUAACUUAAACAUCAAUUAAACUAUUAAACUAUCAUAAUAAACCCCAAUAGAUACAACUGACAAAUAACUCGCAGAAUCUGGUAGAACUGAGUCAUAAGCUCUACAACGAGCGCAUUAAAAUUUUCAAAAUACAAUACUGUUUUGAAUAGGAAAUAAACAAUAGAACAUCUAAAUAUAGAAGGUAAUUUCGAGGCCUGCGAAAUAUUGAACAUGUAUAUCUUGAAGUCUCCGAAAAUAGCUAAUCAAUCACUGGCGUCCAGCAUGGGUAAAUGUACCUGGAUCUGCACAAAUAUGUGCAAAAGUGUAGUAUGAAUGCACCAUAAUGGCACCCAGUAAGUGUCAAGACUAGCCUUGGUAGAAUAGUGACGAGGCCAGGUCAAGAUACCUACUAGGAUAAAAACAUUAAACAGAAUAUAGUAUAAUCUAAUAAUGGAAAGCGAGGAAGUAAAUGAAAAAUAGGCAGUUCAAUAAUGUAAGUUAACAACGGAAAUUUAAACGGUAAAGGAAACAAGCAGUGAACACAUGAUGAAACAACGAGUAGUCAACAAAGACUAUUACAAGUACGACAAAUGAAGAAAAUAACAAGAACUGCUCAACCAACAAGCCUCUUUUAGCAUGGAAUUUACAACAAGAAUAACAACAGAGGUUCUACCUUAUAUUCACAUUUCACAAUUUCAAUCACAAUCUUUCCUUAUAUCACCAUGUGAGCCUUGCAUUUAUUUUUGAAAAUAUCUUUCCGAAAUGGUUACACAUAUUUUAGUCCCCUUAUCUCACCGCGUGGCUUCAAGUAAUUCUCUUACUAGCAACACGCGUAUAAAUUUCUACCUUAUCUCACUGCAUGUGUAUCAACCCCUCUCCUUAUACCACCACAUGCGUAUCAAUAUCACAACACAAUAAUCAACUCGCACCACAUGUGCCCAUACACCACAACACUUGUCAAAAUCAACAAUACCAAUGUUACCACAACGUAGAGCCCAUGGCUAAAUCAAAAUGUGCACAAGAAUCUCAAUAACAACAAAAUAAAUGAGAAAUACUCAACAAUUAACAUCUUCAACCUCAACCCAUGGCUUCAACAACUUUAAUAUCAAUGACCCAACAAGAAGAUAUUUCACGAAAUAACAACUUCAAGUAAGCGUAAUUUAACAAUAAAAGAGUAAAAAAAUAAAAAGAGAAGUAGUAACUUCAACUAAAGCAUAUGAGAGCAAUUACAACUACAAAAGGUAGGACAAUUAAUAACAACGUGAAUUAGAGCAUGUGAGAGGAAAUUUGACAAUGAAAGAUGUAACAUGUUAUAACAAAUUUAAUUAAAUGCAUGGAAGAAGUCUAAAAGUCUAAACUGGUCAAUUUAGCACAAACAAGCCAAAUCCUAAGGUAUAGUUUCUCCUACACAAAGUUAGGCAAGAUACUCACCUCAACUAGGCCAAAUCAACCCUCGAAUAUAGCUUUUCCCCUAAAAGUCUCCUCCACAUGGAUCAAAUCUAACAAAAGUGAAUUAAUAUCAUCAAACAAUGCAAGAAAAAUCAAUUACAAUAGAUAAGGCUAUGGUCUUUACAUAUUUUCCCAAAAGUCAACAAAAGUUAAUCUCGGGCUCGUCCGAUCGAAAUUCGAGUCCAAAUCCGACUACUCAUUACUCCACGAGUCCAUAUAUGUGUUUUAUUUUCAAAUCCGAGUCCAAAUUGACUCUCAAAACUCAAAUCUUUAUUUUUUAAAACUUUGAAAAAAAUAACUUAUCCAAUAUUUGUAGAUGAAAAUUCCCUCUCCAAAUCGCCUCCUACCAAGUCUAGGGUUCUAAGAUAUGAAAAAUGAGACCUAAAUCCCGACUCCUACCCCUUUUCAUUAGCUGCAGGUAUCGCAAAUGUGACCUUGAGUUCGCAUUUGCGAACCCUCACAAUUAUGGAACAGGGAUCGCAAUUGCGAACCCUGACAGCCUCUUCAAAUGUUGCAAUUGCAACAAAGGCUUCGCAAUUGCGAAGUUGCCAUCUUUGCAAAAGUGACCAAAUGGCCGUAAAUGCGACCCAACUCAAGCCUAAACUGACUUCACAAAUACAAAGGGGGAAGUCGCAUUUGCGAAAUCUGACCUCCCAUGCCCACUUUGCAAUUGCAAGGCUGGUGCUCACAAUUGCGAUAUCAGAGCACCAGCACACAAGCAGUCUUGUUUUCAGUCAAAACCAUUUUGAAACGCGUACGAAACUCAUCCGAGCCCUCGGAGCACCAAACCAAAUAUCCACCAAGUCUAAUAACAUCAUACGAAUUUGCUCGUGCUAUCAAAACACAAAACUAACAUCUGGAAGUACGAAUCGGACAUCAAAACGCAUGAAUUUCAAAGAAAAGUUCAAGAACCUUUAGAAUUACAACCAAGUGUCUGAAUCAUAUCAAAUCAACUCCAAAUGACACCAAAUUUUGCAGACAAGUUCUAAAUAAGAUAAUAGACAUAUUUCAAGUCCCAAAUCCAAAUUCUGAGCCCGAUAGAUAAAAUUCAACCUGCGGUCAAACUUGAGAAAUCUUCUAAACCUCAAAUUGCCAACUUUCGACAAAACAACACAAGUCAACCUACGAACCUCCGAAUUCAAUUCCGGGCAUACGCCCAAGUCUAAAAUUAUGAUACGAACCUAUUGGAGCCAUAAAAAUACCGUUCCGGGAUUAUUUUCACAAAAGUCAAACUUUAGUCAAUAUUUCUAACUUAGGCUUCUGAAUCAAGAGCCAAAGGGUCCAAUUCAACCCAAAAAUUUCCCAGAACGAAACUAGCCAACCCUAUAAGUCAUAAAGCCAAAAUUACACAUUUGAAUCAUCAAAAGGGAUAACAGGACGCAAAUACACAACAUGAUUGAUCGGGUCGUUACAUAUUCACAGUUGUUCGAACUAUCAUGGCAUUAAACUCAUGAGUCAUACAAUAAAACUUUAGGAAAGAUUGAUAGAGAAUAGACUUAGGAACAUGAUAAGAUUGACAAUAGACCAUAUUCUUUAAGAAGAUUGAUGAAAAUUUAGCAUGAAAGGAAGAAAUAUUUACACAACAAUAAUAACGAACUCAGUAUAUUAUCAUUGGUGGGGUCUAAGGAGGGUAGUGUGUAUGCUAACCUCACUCCUACCUAGGGAAGGUAGAGAGGAUAUUUUCAAUAGACCCUCGGCUCAAAAAAAGUGAGAUGAAAAAGAAUUAAAGAAAAAGAAGUACCAAACAAUAGCAACAAGGAAAUACGAUAACUGAAGCGAACUAAACAACAUGACGUAAUAUAGAUCUAAGAAUAUAAAUGUACAUGAGUGCUACUAGUAAUUCUGGUAAGAAAAAGGAAAAUUUUCAACUACCUACCAACUUUCUGCCCUAAUUCUCGACCUCCACACCCUCCUAUGAAGGGUUAUGUCCUCAGUAAGCUGAAACCGAACCAUAUCCUUCCUAAUCAUCUCUCCUCAGUACUUCUUUGGCCUACCUCGACCUCUUCUUGUCCAGGAGCAUCAAUACUUCUCCUCUUAACGUGCUCGAACCAUCUUAGCCUCGACUCUCGCAUCUUGUCCUCUAAGGAGGCCACUCCCACUUUGUCCCGAAUAAAUUCAUUCUUAAUAUUAUAUCUCCUGGUACACCCACCCAUCCAUCUCAACAUCCUCAUUUCUGUUACUUUCAUUUUCUGAAUAUGAGAGUUCUUGACUGGCCAUCAUUCAGCCCCAUACAAUAUAGUUAGUCCAACCACCACUCUGUAGAAUUUACCCAUAAGUCUUGGUAGCAUAUUCUAAUCACAUAAAACACAGAUAUAAACCUCUAUUUCAUCUAUCGCUCUCCAAUAUAAUGUGUGAUAUCCUCUUCAAUCUCCCUACUACCUUAGAUUAAAGACCCAAAAUACUUAAAACUAUCUCUCUUGGGGAUAACUUGAGUAUCAAGCUUCACAUCCACGUCUGCUUCAUGAGUUCCAUCACUAAAUUUGCACUUCAAGUAUUCUAUUUUGGUCCUGCUCAACUUGAAACCUUUAUAUUUCAAGGUCUGUCUCCACAUCUCCAGCCUUGGGUUAACCUUGCCCCGCGUCUCGUCAAUCAACACUAUGUCAUCAAUAAAUAACAUGCAUUGUGGAACCUCCCCUAGGAUGUACGGCCUCAGCAUGUCCAUCGCCAAGGUAAAUAAAACAGGCUAAGAGUCGAUCCCUGGUGCAACCCCAUCAUAACUGGAAAGUGUUCUGAGUUACCUCCCACAACCCUCACCCGAGUCUUGGCACUACCAUAUAUAUCCCUAAUCACCCUAGUGUAUGCUACCGGAAUGAUGCUAACCUCCAAACACCUCUACAUAAUCUCCCUCGGGACUUUAUCGUAUGUUUUUUCAAGAUCAAUGAACAUUAUAUGCAAGUCCUUCUUCCUUUCUUUAUACUUCUCCACUAACCUCCUCACUAGAUCAAUAGCUUUUGUAGUCGAAGGCCUUGGUAUUAAUCCGAACUAAUUCUCGCAAAAUAGACACUCCUCCUCACACUGACUUCCACUACCAUCUACCAAACCUUUAAAGUGUGACUCAGUAGUACUAUACCCAUAUUUUGGAUAUCUCCCUUGUUCUUGUAUAAUGGAAUCAUUGUACUUCACCUCCAUUCUUCGGGCAUUUUCUUCGUUUUAAAAAUGAUAUUAAACAACCUAGUAAGCCACUUCAAACCCACGCUUGGCUUGCGUUCUUCCAAAAUUCUACCGGAAUUUGUCUGGCCUAGUCGCUCUACCCCUGCUCAUCUUACGCAUCACCCCCUCAUCCUCAUCUAUCUUAAUAUGUCUACAAUACCCAAGUCAUACCGACUCUUGGAGUGCUCCAAAUCACCUAGCACAAUGCUUCUGUCUCCAUCCUCGUUCAACAGUUUAUGGAGUAGUAAGUCUAUCAUCUCCGUUUAAUAUGUGCCUCUUCCAUCAAUACGCAUUUAUUGCCCUAGAAAAAACAUAUGAUAGGAUUCCACACAAGGUAUUUUAGUGGGUGAUGGAGAAGAAAGAAAUUCAUAUUAAAUAUAUAAAUAUCAUAAAGAACAUGUAUGAAUGAGUCGUCACUAGCAUGAAAACUGUAGUAGGAGAUACAAAUGAGUCUUUUUAUAUAUAAUAGUGGGUUCAGCAAGGUUCGACAUUGAGCCUCUAUUUAUUUAACCUAGUCAUGAAUGAUCUAAUGAAUGUAAUACAACAUAAGGUCCUAUGGUGUAUGCUAUUUGCUGAUGACAUUGUGUUAAUUGACGAAACUAGUGAAGGUAUCAACCAAAAGGUUGAGCUAUAGAGAAACACCUUGCAGAGUAAAGGCUUUAGGAUAAGUAAAAGUAAGACUGAAUACAUGUAAUGCAAGUUUAGUCAACAUGAGAAAAAUAAAAUUAGUGGUGAGCCUAGAUGAGAUUACGGUACCAAAAUAAAAAUAAUUUAGAUAUCUAGGCUCGUUGUUUCAAGAGAAUGGAAUGGUAGAUAGAGAUACCCAUAGGAUUAAAACCUAAAUGUUAAAAUAGAGAAAUUGGGGUGUUAUGUGAUAUAAGAAUUCAUACUAAUGCGAAAGGUAAGUUCUAUAGAACAAUUAUAAGACCAUCAAUGUUAUAUGGUUCUGAAUAUUGGGCUGCUAAAUCCAACAUAUCCACAAGAUGAAUGUUGCAGAGAUGCGAAUGCUAAGAUAUAUUUGCGGUCACACAAGAUUAGAUAAUAUUAAAAAUGAUCAUAUUCUCCAUAAGAUGCAAGUAGCACACAUUGAGAAUAAAUAAGAGAAGAUCGCUUGAAUUGGUUUGGUGAUGUCUUGAGUCACCCUACAGAUGCACCGUCGAUAGAUAUGAAAAUAUGGUGAAUGAAGUUGUUACAAAGGAAUGAGGUAGACCCGUAAUCACAUGUAAGCAAUUUGUCUCAAAAGACCAACAAAUCCUUGGAAUCAAUGCAAACUUAGCUAAAGAGAUGACACAAUAGAAUAAGAAGGUCCAUAUAGGCGAUACUUACUAGUUAGAUAUAAGCUUUAAAUUUAUUAGAGAACUUUUAAUAUUAAAUAAUAUUUUUAUNNNNNNNNNNNNNNNNNNNNNNNNNAUAUAUAUAUAUUCUUUUACUACUACAUUUAUUUUAUUUUGAUAUGAUGAUAGUAUGAGUUAAAUUUAAAGAAAACAGUAAAAAAUUCAUAUCAUCGACAUAAUUUUAUUUGAAACAGAGACAUAAUUAUUGUUGUUGUUGUAGAUUUUCCUUAAUUAAAAUGACUAGAAAAACAAAAGAGAUAAGUAAGAUUCUCGGCACCAAUUCAACAACGGUUAUCAUUUUAAGAGAGGUUGUUGUGGGCUUCUUGUCUUAUAUGCAAUUUGACGAUUGUCACAUUCGCUGUGGUUUUAUGAUAUUAGUAUGGAACUCGUACGAUGUAUGUAUAAUAUUAAAAACUAUUAAUCAUAUCGAAUUAUGAUCUACCUUAUUUGAGUAUAUUAGAGAUAACAUUGCUUUAAUAAAAGAAUAUUAAUCAUGACGAGAUGUGGUAUAACUUAUUUGAAAAAAUGAGAGAUAAUGUUGCUUUAAUAAAAUUUAACUGGCAUCUCGUUUAUCAAAGCAAUAUAGCCAAUAAAAUAAUUUCUAUAAAAUUAAUAAAGCAAAUCAAAUAGUCAUGAAAUCAUUUUUAUUCUUUAUUUUUUCAUCAUCCAAUCUACAGCAAAUCAAAUGAAAUCUGAAAAGAAGUGAACACUUUGCUAGGAACGAAGUUUCGUAUUUUAUUAGAUUAUCUUUUUUAGGUCAAACAAUAAAAAAUUUAUUCAACCAAGUGUAUACAUGUACAUACUCUAGUCCUUUUGUACUCUACGACUAGCCCUCUUUAGUCAAUACCUAUCUAAGUAGAAUACCAAUUAUACAGGGGAAACUAAAGAAAUUGCUACUUUUAUAUAGGAAAACAAUUCAGACUCUCUAAUAUUUUCAGCCAUUUAUGACAUCUCUGCCCUCUAGUAUGCAACUGGAGGACAAUUUCUCGCAAUUUUUAUGCACUCUCUUGCUUUUCCUGUUGGAACCUUCGAGCAUUUAGUUCAUGCCAGACAUGAUAUACAGUACCGGCAAACAACCAUCUCAAAAUUUCUUGUUUAGCUCUACAGCCCCGCAUUCUUUUAGCCAUCCAGUCUAUUUCUUCAUUCCAUGUCUUUACCUUCCUGGGCUCUCCUAUCCAUCGUAGUAAGGUAGACCAUAUAUGUCUUGAAUAGUUUACAACCAAAGAACAAGUUUGUAAAGGUUUCAUCCUCAUUUGAUUGCAUAAAAUACAUUCUUUAGGAACAUGACCCCCCUACCUUUCCAGUCUAUCAAUUGUAGCCAAUCGUUGUCGAACUGCAAGCCAAAGGAUAAAUUGAUGUCUUGGUAUCAACUGCGUUCCCAUAGUGAGGUUUUUUCAAGGGACCUUUUGGUACUAUGGACAGAGAGAUAAAUAUGCUUUCUUGAUGCUGAAUCCUUCCUUAGUAGCACACUGCUGGAGUUCCACUGCGUUCCCAUAGUGAGGUAUUUCCAUGGGACCUUCAGAUACUUAGUCCCCAAGUUUUACCCCAUACAACCUCCACACACCCCACUUACAUUUUACACUAUACAAAAAGAAACACAUUUUUACAUCUGUCGCCAACCCCUUUUAUCAUCUCAUCCCUCUUAACUUUUGAGAGACCAAGACAGCCGCCCAUCACUCUCUCUUUCUCAUUUUAGAGAGACCAUCAGCUCUCUCAACUCCCAUGACUGUAGUCCUCUUGCCGUCUGCCGGAGUUCAUCACCGGCGAUGGCUGGCAACAACCCCUCUUCUUCUUUACUGUUUUCUCUCAUCUCUCUUUCUCUCUUAUGCUACUGUCAUUCGCUGGCUGGAACUCAGACCACUGUCGUCGACGACUCUUCGAUUUCUCUUCGUUGUGCUUAGAUCUUGUUAGAUCUAGCCGACCUUUGUAGGUUAUAGAUCGAAUCUGGCCAGAGACAUUUUUUCUCGAUGAUUUGUUUUGAGACUCCAUAUUUUUCGGCGACCCAUGUGUUUACCGGCGAUUGCAUAUGUUUUGCUGUUAUUUCCAGUGAGCUCAAUGUUUUUUGGUAACUUCCAUGCUUUCCGGCAGCCGGCAUUUUUGAGAUCUACCAUGGAAAUGCCUAUGACAACAAGCUAAAGCUUCGUUGCAAUGUUAUUUUCAUUCUGACCUUCCAGAUCUGGCCGGAUAUUUCGGACGAAGCUAAAAGCUUAAAUUCCGACAUUCAUUUGUCUUGGUUCUAACUCCAGUAUCUGAUAUUCAUUUUUCUUGGUUCUAGAAAAGGUUUUUCAUCUUUGUUCUUUGAUGAUUAUCUUAUAUUGGGUCUUUAUUACUGUAGAUGUGCUUUUGGGUCUAUGUUGGCGGCUUUGUUACUCUCACGACCCCAAAUUCCCUCUGUAGGAAGUCGUGACGACACUUACUCUCUAAAAUUAGGUAAGCUUAUCAAUAUGCGGAAUAAUUGAAAUAACAACUAAUAAUCUUAAAACUUCAACAAUUGCAUAAAUAAAAUCGGUAACUCAAAUUGUACAAAUCUCCAAAACCUGUUGAAGUAUAAGUCACAAGAUCUAGUAAUAAUUCUGAACAAUUUUAUACAUCACUGUCUAAGAUAAUGUAAUGAAAUAAGAAAAAACAGGAUAGAAUGGGAC